UAUGGAGCUUUAAUUAUUUAAUUCAAUAUUUUCACAACUUCACUCCACAGGAGCUUAACCAAGAAAAUCUCUGAAUUAAAAAUUUUGGUUGGGGUGACCUCGGAGCAAAAACCAACCUCCGAAUGAUUAAAGCCUAGACUCAACAAGUCAAAGCAUUAAAAAUCACAAAUUGACCCAAACCCUUUUGAUCAACGGAACAAGUUACCCUA
rnacentral:rRNA from 1 species